CCUACGGGAGGCAGCAGUGAGGAAUAUUGGUCAAUGGACGAGAAUCUGAACCAGCCAAGUAGCGUGAAGGAUGACUGCCCUAUGGGUUGUAAACUUCUUUUAUAUGGGAAUAAAAUGUUCCACGUGUGGGAUUUUGUAUGUACCAUACGAAUAAGGAUCGGCUAACCCCGUGCCAGCAGCCGCGGUAAUACGGAGGAUCCGAGCGUAAUCCGGAUUUAUUGGGUUUAAAGGGAGCGUAGGUGGAUUGUUAAGUCAGUUGUGAAGGUUUGCGGCCAAACCGUAAAAUUGCAGUUGAAACUGGCAGUCUUGAGUACAGUAGAGGUGGGCAGAAUUCGUGGUGUAGCGGUGAAAUGCUUAGAUAUCACGAAGAACUCCGAUGGCGAAGGCAGCAUACCGGCG
rnacentral:rRNA from 1 species